GACGAACGCUGGCGGCGUGCUUAACACAUGCAAGUCGAACGGAAAGGCCCUGCUUUUGUGGGGUGCUCGAGUGGCGAACGGGUGAGUAACACGUGAGUAACCUGCCCUUGACUUUGGGAUAACUUCAGGAAACUGGGGCUAAUACCGGAUAGGGGCUCCUGCUGCAUGGUGGGGGUUGGAAAGUUUCGGCGGUUGGGGAUGGACUCGCGGCUUAUCAGCUUGUUGGUGGGGUAGUGGCUUACCAAGGCUUUGACGGGUAGCCGGCCUGAGAGGGUGACCGGCCACAUUGGGACGGGGAUACGGCCCAGACUCCUACGGGAGGCAGCAGUGGGGAAUAUUGCACAAUGGGCGGAAGCCUGAUGCAGCAACGCCGCGUGCGGGAUGACGGCCUUCGGGUUGUGAACCGCUUUCGCCUGUGACGAAGCGUGAGUGACGGUAAUGGGUAAAGAAGCACCGGCUAACUACGUG
rnacentral:rRNA from 1 species